CAGCUACUGUAGCCUUGAGCCUCUAGCCUCACGCAGAGAUGAGAAGCAGCUACAGAGAGUCUGGAGCCGAGGACCCUGGUUCCGGGCUGAUAUGACCAGCCGUCCAGGACAAGCGGUUAAAGUCAACGUUACCGUCAGUGUCAGGUGUCGGUGUAGUGAUAUACGGGAGCGGCUCUCCGGGGAAAGCAGCAGAUUGAGGCCGAAGCUCCGCGAGACCCGGCGGGUUGGAUCUGCGCUGAUGUGGCUGCAACAUAUCUGGGCUGUUGAUGCUUUUUGCUCACGUGCGCACAGAGGCGUCACCUGCACAUGAGGGCGAUCAAUUAAGAGUCAUCAACAAUGGAC